rnacentral:rRNA from 1 species
AUUGAACGCUGGCGGCAGGCCUAACACAUGCAAGUCGAGCGGGGUUUUCGGACCUAGCGGCGGACGGGUGAGUAAUGCGUAGGAAGCUACCCGAUAGAGGGGGAUACCAGUUGGAAACGACUGUUAAUACCGCAUAAUGUCUACGGACCAAGGUGUGGGACCUUCGGGCCACAUGCUAUCGGAUGCGCCUACGUGGGAUUAGCUAGUUGGUGGGGUAAUGGCUCACCAAGGCGACGAUCCCUAGCUGGUUUGAGAAGAUGAUCAGCCACACUGGAACUGAGACACGGUCCAGACUCCUACGGGAGGCAGCAGUGGGGAAUAUUGGACAAUGGGCGCAAGCCUGAUCCAGCCAUGCCGCGUGUGUGAAGAAGGCCUUCGGGUUGUAAAGCACUUUCAGUAGGGAGGAAGGGUGUUGUGUUAAUAGCACAGCAUUUUGACGUUACCUACAGAAGAAGCACCGGCUAACUCUGUGCCAGCCGCCGCCGUAAAAC